rnacentral:rRNA from 1 species
UACGUAGGCAGCAAGCGUUGUUCGGAAUUACUGGGCGUAAAGGGUGCGUAGGUGGUGAGGUAAGUCGGAUGUGAAAUCUCCGGGCUCAACCCGGAAACUGCAUUGGAAACUACCUUGCUUGAGGAUUUGAGGGGGGAUUGGAAUACUUGGUGUAGCAGUGAAAUGCGUAGAUAUCAAGUGGAACACCAGUGGCGAAGGCGAAUCCCUGGAAAAUACCUGACACUGAGGCACGAAAGCUAGGGGAGCAAACAGG